rnacentral:lncRNA from 1 species
AUCCUCCUGCCUCGGCCUGCCAAAGUGCUGGGAUUACAGGCGUGAGCCACCACGCCGGGCCUUUCCCCGGGAAUGCUGUGGUAGAGGGACCCGCAGAGGCCCCGAGGCUGCCUGCAUGUGUGUGUUGGGAGGAUCUGCGCUGAGGGUAGGUAGGAGUUGGGCAGGCCAGGACAGGAAGGAGGCAGAGGGCAUGUCCCAUGCCCGUGCAGAGGGAGGACACGCAUGGUAGACCAGGACGAGGACAAGGGCAGGCUCAGUGUGUGCAAAGGGGACAGUGGUUUGGGAUUUGCAUGCAGAUGCCCGAGCCUCCAAAGGACCUGUGGGCCACAGGGAGACCCUGGGGGAGUUCAAGCUGAGGAGUGGAGAGGGCUUUGGGCUGGUCAGCAGGUGCUCAGAGGAGAGGGGCUGGCCCUAGAGAGAAGGGAGGUCUUGGGAUGGUGGCCCACACCUGACCCUGGCCCUUCAUCAGGUGAUUCCUGCGUGGAUGCCUGCGGGGAUUCCUGCGUGGAUUGGGGAAGUCCUGCAGCAUUACAGAAUUGUUACCCAACGCCAGGGCCUUGGUCCAGAGUCCUGUUGCUAGAUGCACAGAAAGCAAAUCACUGAGAUCUGGGUCAGGGCUUGUCUGAUGUGGGGAAAGCGGACUGCCCCCAGUGGAUUCAGACGUCACUUCAUGGCAUGAGACCAGCAUUACCCACAAUGGCAGUGGCAGCAGAUGGAGGAGAUGGAGCAGAAGGCAGCAGAGGGCGUCCCAG